rnacentral:hammerhead_ribozyme from 1 species
GCACUGCUGAAGAGUCCCAUAGUCGGACGAAACGGCUGUCCAGUGC